rnacentral:rRNA from 1 species
UACGGAGGGGGGCUAGCGUUGUUCGGAAUUACUGGGCGUAAAGCGCACGUAGGCGGCUUUGUAAGUUAGAGGUGAAAGCCCGGGGCUCAACCCCGGAAUUGCCUUUAAGACUGCAUCGCUUGAACGUCGGAGAGGUGAGUGGAAUUCCGAGUGUAGAGGUGAAAUUCGUAGAUAUUCGGAAGAACACCAGUGGCGAAGGCGGCUCACUGGACGACUGUUGACGCUGAGGUGCGAAAGC